rnacentral:misc_RNA from 1 species
AUGGAAGCACGCAAAGCGAACGAAGAUAGCUUUGUUCGGAGUCCGUCUGGUCUUAUAUACUACACGGCGUCUACACCCAACAGCGCCAACAUGGCACAGUCGGUUUUGGAUCAACGACUUGUUAGCAAAUCAAAUUUUUCUUUGAUACACAGCACUGUUACCAGUGCCGUUACUGAAGUUUUGGAGAUUUCAAAUUCAUCGAGCGAAGAGUGGACACAUUUCUACGAUCUUAUGCUGUCUUGGCAAGGCAUUUGUUUUAUCGCAAUAUUUUGUGUGCUCAUCGUGAUCACGCUACUGGGCAAUACAUUGGUAAUAGUGGCGAUUAUAACCACACGACGCCUGCGAACCGUAACAAACUGUUUUGUAAUGAGUCUGGCGGUUGCGGAUCUUUUGGUGGGCAUUUUCGUCAUGCCACCUGCGGUAGCCGUACAUUUAGUGGGCUCCUGGCGUCUCGGCUGGAUACUUUGCGACAUUUGGAUAUCGCUCGACAUACUGCUUUGUACCGCGUCCAUACUCAGCUUGUGCGCCAUCAGCGUGGACAGAUACCUGGCUGUGACAAAACCGCUGAAAUACUCACGUAAACGCCGUUCGAAACGCUUGGCGCUGUUAAUGAUACUGAUUGUUUGGGUGCUGGCGCUGGCGAUAACUUGUCCGCCCAUGCUCGGCUGGUACGAGCCGGGUCGACGUGACAGAAAUGAGUGCCGUUAUAAUCAAAAUAAAGGAUACGUCAUCUAUUCGGCCAGUGGCUCCUUCUUUUUGCCAAUGAUUGUGAUGCUUUACGUUUAUGCGCGCAUUUCCUGUGUUAUCGCCUCGAGGCAUGACAAAAUGACCCACACCAGUGUGCAUUGGAAGCGAUUCAGGCGUUACACUACGGUUGAUACUUACAAUUAUGCUGAGCAGGAUUUCUUCGAGUUGACACGCGAGAAGGCCUCGGAAGAGCGCAGAUUUUCCAAUCAAACCAUCAUUAAUGAGCUAACUGAAGUCAUGGUGCCCGAUGCGGAAAACGUCCGUCCACUGCUCAGCUUACCAAAGGCGAAUAGCGGUAAGAGUAAUAUCAACGAUUUGGCACGACCCGUGUCAUGGAAAACGCCAGCAAGUGUGGUGUAUCAGUACACGUCCAAUGGCAAAAGGCAACAAUACGCCCAGUCGUGUCCGCCUGGAUCGAUAGCUCGUAUGCAGCAGCCACGCGGUUCCCAACCGCAACAGCAACAACUGAGAUCCUUGGCCAACUGCAUAAUUUCGCUGAGGAAAGAGCACAAGACUACACAAACGUUGAGCAUUGUGGUCGGCGGCUUUAUUGCCUGUUGGCUGCCAUUCUUCAUUUACUACCUGCUUACACCGUUUCUAGAGCCGCAACAAGUCAGCCGGACCCUCACGCAUGUGCUCACCUGGCUGGGCUGGCUGAACAGCGCCAUUAAUCCCUUCAUUUAUGCAUUCUACAGCAUCGACUUUCGCGUGGCAUUCUGGCGGCUCGUCUGCCGACGCUUCUGCAGCAACAUUAUGCGACCGCAAACACCCACCACCACUACAUCCAUGCGCCUGUAGGCCAGCAGAUGGGCGCACAAUCGGAGGUCAAUGGAUACUUUUGCGCAGAAACCCCUGUGUACAAAAUCGAUUGGAGCGUGCAUCGGAUUAUGUGUAGGCAUGUGAAGGUGUGCUUCAUGUCCAUGUACAUGUAUGUGUCUUCUAAUAUUUAAGGGGUAUUAGUCAAGCAUUGUGCUCAGCGUCAAUAUGAAGCGACUCUUAAUAUGGACGGAUCGAUCGAUUAUUUUAUAAUCGCAAAGAUCCAUCAACCGUUUGAGGGGACGUGUUUUUAUAGGUAUAUCAUUGUGUGUGGUGCAUGGCAUAUAAAGGCUUUUGCUAUUGACAGGGCUAAUUGUGUUACAUUGAUCAAAUCGGCAUACAAAAAAUGCGCUUGGCCGCAUAAGAGUCUCAUUGUUUCGAGAAACGAUGCCAGAAUAUGUUAGUCAACGUCACAGACUUCUGAAAGUUGUGCUAUGGAAAAGGGUUACUAUUAGUAGUAUUCAAAAACUUUUGCCUUCAUUGUUCCGCCAAAGACUUUUCAGGCCACGUAGUAUUUACUCAGCAAGGGAAAGAUUUAAGAGCUUCGGAUAUAUGAAGUCUUGAAAGAAUAUUGAGCCGUUCCAAACGCUAUUUUACUUAUUGUUAGUUAUUAACAUAAGACAAAACAUAUUGAUGGCAUUUAUAUACAAAAUAUAUGUACAUAUAUGUAUAUAUGAAUCAGAUCAUAAUUUAAGUAUUUUAUUACACAAAAUAUAACAUAUGUACAUAUAUCCAUAAUCUAAAAAUGUUAAAGUAAGCUUUUUUAUCUAGAAGGGUAUGUUAUAGGAAAACCAAAGACAGCUGAAUAAGCUCACAUACACAUACAUAUAAGUCUUGUAUCAGAUCGUGUAUGUCAUUAUAUAUUAAUAUACUUAAUAAAUAAAUACUGUGUAUUUACAAAUAUUAAAAUCUAAAAAUUUAUAGAAAUUAUACAAAAACGCCUAACUCCUUGUGAUGUCGCCGUGUAAUAAUAAUUAAUGUAUUCGCUUUCAUUUUACUUAACAAUAAGCUGUAAUUGUAUUGGCGUUUAUGUAAGCAUCGUAUAUGUAUAUGUAUAUAGUUAUGGAAUAAACAGCCGAACUGAGCCAUAUUAAA